UUCGCAAUGCCCGAAAGGGUGAACGAGCGACGCCGCGUGCGGGAUGAAGGGCUUCGGCUCGUAAACCGCUUUUUUUCGGGAAGAAUGCAUCGGCCGCGAACCGGUGAGGGACGGUACCGGAAGAAUAAGCCCCGGCUAACUCCGUGCCAGCAGCCGCGGUAAGACGGAGGGGGCGAGCGUUGUUCGGAAUUAUUGGGCGUAAAGGGCGCGUAGGCGGAUCGGCGUGUCUGGCGUGAAAUCUCCACCACUCAACGGGGAGAGGUCGCUGGAAAUUACCGAUCUGGAGUUCGGUAGAGGACCAUGGAAUUCCAGGUGUAGCGGUGGAAUGCGUAGAUAUCUGGAAGAACACCGGUGGCGAAGGUGGUGGUCUGGGCCGAAACUGACGCUGAGGCGCGAAAGCUAGGGGAGCGAACGGGAUUAGAUACCCCGGUAGUCCUAGCCGUAAACGAUGGGCACUAAGUAGAGGGGUUUU
rnacentral:rRNA from 1 species